UGGUCUGACAUGGUCUGACAUGGUCUGCUGGGCGCUGGGAAAGCUCAUCUCCUCCGCCUGCUUCCUCUUCCUCUAGGAGCUGCCGUUUCCUCCGUGUUUGGUCUCCAUCCCUCAGGGGAAGGCCUUUCUCCAUGUCCGGUGGCGCUUGGUCAUCUGCGCAGUAAAAAUGCCCUUUCUUCUGAGGACACAGUGGAGUUCUUGUUUGUGGCUCCUUGCGUGGAAUCGAACCAAGCUCUUUUGCACACCAGCUCUUCCCUGAGUGCAAAACCCCAACGCCACGAGAAGAGCCCGUUUCCUUUCACGUGACCACAGAAGGCUGCAUGCAGAACACGGGCGCCAGCGAAGGCAGUACACAUUCAGAAAUGAAAGGAGCGAACGUUUUUGCAAGCGCACUUUAAGCCUGUACAGUGAGAGCGGAAGGCCUCCGGACAACCUGAUGGGGGACCUGUGGGCGAGCGGUGCGGUGAGACAUGCUCCCUAAAGCUACACCGAGAGGAACAAGCCAUGGAAGAGCAGCGACCACUGCCGUCCGGGUGGGGGUCGUAUGGCACCUGUGGUUUAUAGACAGCUUUAGUAACGAGUAUUUCAAAACAUAGUUCACAGUUUUAAGAAGAUCUGUGCUGAUUUUAAAAACUAGAUUCUAUAUAAUUUGCACGUUGUCUUAUUUUGAAUAUGAUAUCUAUUUGGAAAAAAAUAUGUACACUAAAUUCUAUGGCUGAUUCGCUAGAAUAGCUUGAAAGAAAACAACCUCCAGUUGGAAAGAAGCCCCAGAGACUGGGUUACCCUGGCGUGUUUGGCUCCAGUCACUGCUCACAGGACGGGGAGACCCGGGCAGACAGGGCCGGCCCAGGCCCUCCGCGCCUGCACACUCAGGACCCAAGUCCUUCGGGGCCAAUGAAUAAUUGGGAGCGGUUGUUUUGUCCCAAUUACUGUGGGGGAAAAAAUGUACA